UCCAGUUAUAUUUUGACAUGAAUCUCAUUGUGUACAACAUAGCUUUACUUUAAACAUGCUGAGACAGAAAUUCAUUUCAACAAGUCAAAUGGGGAAGGGAAUAAAGAGAGAGACAUAUAACAAAACAAAGAUCUUCAUUAUCUCCUCAAAACAUCACAUGAAUCAGCCUUUACAUUUAAGAUCGAGGUAUGUACCUGAAUGUAAGAAGGAAGCAAAAGAAGUGAGGUUUCAGUAAGAAAACAGCAGCAACAAAACAAUACCAGCAGAGCCACUUUCAAACCAUAAAAUGAUAUGCAAUAGUCCAGAAAAAGUUUUAAUCGAACAGUAAAUACCACAACUUCAAACCAAACUUCUACAAACCCAGGUUCAGUUCAUUUUUAAUCCCAGAUGAUUCAAAAAUGGAUUCAGAAGUUGAAAAAACCUUAAGGAAUUCAGAAGAGAAUUUAAUGGAAUAGAAAACCAACACAAAGCUUGAACUAAUUUUUUUUCCAGACAGAGUUGGUUUCAAUGCAUUUCAAAUCCCAGAAUAAGAAACUAUGAUUUCAUAAGUUUCCUUCACCAAAUGAAAGCAGAAUACUCCUAAAUGAGCAGAGUUUGAGCAGUUUUAAAACAAAUGAUGUAAUGAUUUCAGAAUUUUCCAAAGGUAUUCCUCUGUUUUGUUUCCUCUCUAUUUUUCUUAUCUCUUUCAAACUCUAUCUUUCAGUGUUUUUUCAGAGUAUUCUUGUAUCUCUCUUUUUGUUUUUUACCCCCUGUAUCUAUGUGUGUUCCCAGUUAUAUACCUCAUCAUCUAGCCUUUUCCAGCUCCUCUUUUUCUUUAAAAUUGUAUUCUUUCAGCUUUUGAAAAUGUCCCCCAUGUUAUCCUACUUUCCAACUCUAAAAAGGGCAUUAAGCUAACCAUUGUCAGUCUCCUUUUCAUUUUUAAUUCACUCUAUUAACCUAGUGCUUUUAAUUAAUUUAUUAAUGCAAUUUCUACCCUACCACUACUUCCUAAGUUAGGUAAACAAUCUCCUUUUAUUGAAUAAUUCCCAGACUAACCCUUUAAGUUCAUAAUUAUUCAAUUAGAAUCUCUGAAAGUUAUAAACAUUUAUAGAAUGGCUAGGCAACAAAACCAAAGGGCAUCAGUUUAUGAAACCUAAAUAGGUUUAGCAUUGAAACAAAGUCAGAAAUAACCCCUCAUAUGAACAAUCUGAACCGACAUUAGCAAGAAACGACCAUUGAAGAGCCUAUUUGAGAUUCGGCCUUUGACACUUUUAACACAAUCAUCUUAACAAGGCAUCAAAACAUCACGAGGAUAUUAAUAUGCUGCCUAUUAGAAUAGUAUAAACCCAAAUUGAAAACUGAGAACCUACUGAUUCAAUGGCAAACUUAUGAACUUAAAUAACUAAAACAGAAGCUGGAUACAAACCUAAAACUAGACAGAGUGGAGAGACCAAAAUCAGGGCACAAUCCUCCUUUUUUAUUUUAGGAAUUAAAAUAAAAGUUAAAAUGGACAGAAAUGACUGAACAAACAAAUUAACCUAAUAGGAAGAACCUAUUAUAGUUUCAAUUCAAAGUCAGACCAUUAAAAUACACAAAGUAGAAAAGAAGAAGAAGAGAUAGAGAUGAAAUAGACAUUGAAAAUAAAAGAAAUGCUACAGGGAAACUCACCGACUAAACUCGAAAUUAAAAUCUUAUAACUUGAUUCAUACAAAACUGAUACCAAUCGCUUUUUUCUGUCGAGAAAGAAAGAAUGGCAUCAAUUUUGUAACGAAUCAGCCUUCCCGAGUCGAUGCAUGCCACCAGUUUUGACAGUAUCGAGUUGUGAGUUUUUAGAGCUUAAAUUUGGAUCUAAUAUUCGAGGAGUUCUAGAAAGAUUCGAAGGAAACCAUUCUGAGAUUUGUAAAGAGGGGGUCAAAGUGGUCAUAUGGUGUUAGUUUGGGGUUGAUUGGGUAAACUAGGGUUCGGGUCCGAUCUUCGAUCUGAAAUUCGAGGGAUUUGGCUAAGAUUCGAAGGCAAUGGUUUGGGGAUUUGAGAUGAUGAGGUGAAGGAGAAUCAAUGGUGUUAAUUUGGGGUUGUUUGGGCCACCGGAACCGUCGUGAGGCGAUUUCCGGCGGGCGGAAGAGGGCGAUGUGUGGCGGUGCAUGUUCUUGGUCUCUGAAGAGACGAGUGGGGGGGUGUUUGGUAUAUUAAAAGGGUAAUUAGAUUAGGGCCAUUGGAUGAUGAGAAUCCAACGGCCAUGAUUGAUCCUUUAAUGAGAACGGGGUCGUUUGGUGUAGCAACUGGGGCG
rnacentral:lncRNA from 1 species